GACGAGUCUCACAACCGUUAUUCGGAAUUACUGGGCUUAAAGGGUGCGCAGGCGGUGGAGUAAGUCGGAUGUGAAAUACCUUAGCUUAACUAGGGAACUGCACUCGAUACUACUUUGCUAGAGUAAGACAGAGGUGAGUGGAACUGAGGGUGGAGCGGUGAAAUGCGUUGAUAUCCUCAGGAACACCGGUGGCGAAGGCGACUCACUGGGUCUUUACUGACGCUGAUGCACGAAAGCUAGGGAAGCAAACGGG
rnacentral:rRNA from 1 species